GGGUUGCACAUAGAAACACACAAUCAAAGAAAAAUAGGGUAGGAUAGGACUCAGGAGGUUAUGUAGGCCAAUCCUCUGCUCAAGACGCAAUCAUUCCUGUCUAAGCCAUUCCCGACUACUCUUUAUUUAACCCAAUCUUAAAAAAUUCCAGUGAUGGACACUACACAACCUCUCUAGGUAAUCUGUUCCAGUUUUUAACUGCUCUCAUAGAGAGAAGUUUUUUCCUAACAUUCAACUUAAAUUAAUUUUGUUGUAGUUCAGGACCAUUAUUUCUUGCCCUGUGUCCUGAGGCUACAGAGAACAAUCUAUCACCAUUGUCUUUAUAACCACCCUUCAUGUAUUUGAAGACAGUUACUAGAUCUCCCUUCAGUCUUCUCUUCCCCAGACUAGAUAAUCCUUUUCUCAUAAGUCAUCCAGCCUUUUCUCGUCAUAAAUCAUCUUUCCUAGAGUUCUAAUAUUUUUAUGAGUUUCAAUGAGUUAGGUUUCUCCCUCCUCCCCAUAGCUUCUCCCUAACUGCUAUUUAGGCACCUCUGAAUAUAAUUUGGAUCUGGUCAUCAUUUCUUUCCUUAUACCAUUCAACAGACCUUGGUGAAGAAGAUAUUUGGAGGCAUUUUUAGGGUUGAAUCUGAUUCUCUUUGAUAAGCUGUAAUUGUGUGUCCCACAAAAGAGUCUGUCUUCAAUUACUGAAUCGUUAAUGAUUCACUCUCAGCUCAGCUUUCAUUUCUGUAGAAGAAUCUGUUCACCAAGAAAUCCUAUCUCACACAUUUGCCAGGACAAGCAGCGGAGUCCUCAAACAUAGAUCCUUUGGCUGGGUACCUCCUGCCACGUUAGCAGAGCAGGGUGGACAGGUUAACUAGCACUGACUUUCAGCAGUGCUAAUCAGCCUAUCAGCACUGCUGUGUGAAUUCAGUAACACUGCGAUUCAGUAAGUAGCCAAUGUAGAGUGCAGGAGCCUCCACAUUGGGGGCACUUGGGGUUGACCAACAUACUGUGGUCACCAUUAAAAAAUCAGCAUUUGUAUUUGCUUGCAGCUGCAACAUAGUUAUAUGUGACAUGCAAUUUGGUCUGUACUUAGAAUAGGAAAUCACUGUGUCUAAGCGUGCUGCUAUCUGAUGCAGCAAGUUUCUCAGGUAAAAAACCACUGUGAAUUUUUGUGUAUAUGGCAGUGAUGGGAAAUGCUGUGGGUAGAAACAUGCCCACUUACUCUGCCACUCCCUCUCAGAAGAGGGGCCCUCCACUAUUUUGUUACCCUUCAGCCUGGAGACGGGGACUGGGAUUUACACUGUUCAUGUCAAGUUUUAGUUUUAUUUCACCUUCAGUAGUGUUAUCCUCUAAUCUCAAUAUUUGAUGCCUUAUCAAGGAAGUGGGGCAGGUAGUUUCCACCUUUAGCAAAGGGAUGUGCGUGACUUUCUCCUCCCUCCCCCAAGUCAAGGGAGGGGGUACUUGGGGUUCACCAACAGAAAACAGAUCCAGAGGAAUGGAAUCAGCAAAAAAGUAAUAAAUGGGGAGUUUGACCCAAAUUUAGCUCAGCAGCUGCAUUAUUCAGUAAACAAAUUUUGUGCUUCUUGAACCCCCAUGACUCCUUUUUCUUGUUAGCUGUUUGAACACAUACUGACCUGAACACUGCUCAUAUUUUUAUUGUUAAAUAAUAUCUAAUUUUCUCUGGCAAUAUAGCAAAACCCGUGAACUGAUGAUAUCAGAUCAAAAGAGGCCUUAUACUACUACUUCAGAGGACAUAAGGUAAAUACAGUGGAAAACUAGUAAUACUUCCUCCUCCUGAAAUGGUCAUCAUUGUUUGAUGACAGGUUGAUGAUCAAUGAUGAUUGGUGAUCAUCAAUUUGUGAAGUUCCAGCUACAGUUAGUUCAAGCUAGGUCCUGAUACCUUUGCAAACUCUUUAUUUUGGAUACUACUAUUUUUCUCCCAUCUCCCCCCCAUGAUAGAUCCAUAGCUUUUCUUCCCUUACACAUCCAUGCUAUUGAAAUGUUAAGGGCAAAAUGCUUUUUUGCCAGUUCCAUGGCAAAAAGAUUUUUGUUAGUACCUGUAGCGAAUAUAUUUCUUGAUGAAUAUCAACUUUUUUUUGUGCUUUGAAGGAGGACAAAACUGAUUAACUAGAGAGUGAAAAACUCAGUUCUUCUGAAAAUAGAUUUUUAACACUAUACUGUACUGGUCAAUAUAUAUGGACACAUUACAAGUCUCCAAUAACAAUAUGUAACAUUCAACUUCCAUCUUCUAGCAAAUGCUAUAAAAAAGGAAUAGACUGUUCUUUGUCUUAGCAAAAGUAAAAAGUGAUUGGACACACAAGGAACAGAUGGAAAAUGAGGGUUCAUUUCAAGUGUUGUCAUGUAUCCAAGCAAAAAAAGAAAGAUCUGGUACAAAAAACUAACGAAGAAGAGUAACUUACCUUCACCCAUGUAGCAGAUUAAAUAUUUUAGAAUCCUAGCAGGUUUAAGUUAAAUGUUGCUAGGGCUGCAGUUCAUAUUUGGGUUAUUUUACAAGAACUGAUCACAAACCUGUUUCUCUAGUCACACUGUACCUAUGAAUUAGUG